rfam:Morganella morganii subsp. morganii KT, complete genome.
UGUAUUCCUUAUAGUUUAUCUGUUUCUAAUGAUAUUCGGAGCCUAUCUUCACGUAUCCCGCUUUAACGGUGACGGGCGACGUGAAGAUAGGCCCGGCUAUAUAUUGCCGCUGAUGCAUAGGUC